GAUAGUGGAAUAUAUGAGAUGAAGAUAAAUUCGAUUAAAAUGUAACAUAAAUAAAUCAAUCAAAUAAAAAAACAUAAUCAUUAUGUAGUUUCGUACAUGAAGGAGGAAAAUAGUUAUAUAUAGAAAAAAACUUUUUUAGAAGCCAGUUAACCAUGGAGUAUAUAUAUGUUUCUUCAAAACUUAGUGCUCUACCGAUCCAGCUAUUACGACAUAUAUUACUUAUAUCAGUCAAACGUACAAGCAUUAAUGGUUACGUACUGUAAAUAAAUAUGAUGAAACUUCUGUUUAUCGUGCUCGGAUUAUCCGGGAAAAAUAUCACAACUUAAUUUGAAUAAGGCAGAUUUGGCGUUCCAUAAUGUAGUCAAUAGUGUAACAUGGUUAAAUCUAGGUUCUAUUUAAUAGGAAGGAGGGAAUCGAUAUCACUUUUCAAUUUAGUUAAAAAUUUCUCUCUAAAGUUGUGAGGAAAACAGGUGGCCAUACACCGGUCGUGACCUUUAUUAUUAAGCAGGCCAAACUUGAAAAUCGGCAAUAUAAAUAGAUUGUGAUGACGAAAUAACUAUCCAAUCGGAACUCACGUUACCUAAACUUAAGUCACAUGACUUGUUCAAUCAUAAACAAACCUGCAUGUAUAUAUAGUAAAGACGUGGCAUAUGUUGCACAUCUUGGACGUAUAGAAAAAGGUGUUAAAAUAAGCGUGAAAAUGUCGACAGACGCAAAAGCGGCGGAUAAGGAAUAUAUGGAUGAAUAUGACGACUAUAAUAUUGACCAGGAGAAAUACGUGCAUUCAGCACACAGUGGAAAGGGAAGGUCGAAGAAAGAAGCAUCACUAAACCACCACGAGGACCCUGCCGGACACACGAGAAAAAAUACGCAAAAAUUGAUGAACAACGCUUCUAACAAUAAGAAGGCGUAAUUUACCAAAGUAUGAGUCGAAGAAUAUAUAUUUGGAAAUGGGUACGGACGGACAAACACUGGAUUACGAUUUUAGAACUGUGAUAAUAUGAUGUUAACUGCCUUGAACAUUAAAAAGGAACACAUUUGUGUAUUAUAUAAAAUGGGGAUUUCGGUGUUAAAAUGUGAUAAAAUAAAAGCUUUUGUGAUUG